AGCUCCAAUAGCGUAUAUUAAAGUUGUUGCAGUUAAAAAGCUCGUAGUUGGAUUUCUGGUAUGGUGCACCUGGUCCGCCCCGUUACGGUGUGUGAGUACCGGCGCGCGCCUGCCAUCCUUCUGCAGAGCUAGUCUACCCUUCACUGGGCCGGGCUAGCGAUGUAGAUCGUUUACUUUGAAAAAAUUAGAGUGUUCCAAGCAGGCUUUAUGCCUUGAAUACAUUAGCAUGGAAUAAUAAGAUAGGGCUUUGGUUCUAUUUUGUUGGUUUCUAGGACUGAAGUAAUGAUUGAUAGGGAUAGUUGGGGGUGCUAGUAUUCAACGGCCAGAGGUGAAAUUCUUGGAUUCGUUGAAGACUAACUUAUGCGAAAGCAUUCACCAAGGAUGUCUUCU
rnacentral:rRNA from 1 species